UUAUGAUCAGAUCACAUUUUGAACAACCCUAGACAACAUUCACGCACACCACUACAGAACUCCAUCCUCUGCCUUCUCUUGUUCGAUCACCGGUGACCGGAGUGAGUUACAGGCCGGUUGCCGGCGCCCCGUGCUCCGACAAACCCCAACCCUCACAUCUGAUAAGCCCUCAUCUCUCCCUCUCGUCUGUAUACGACCCGACACCUGCAGCCGCACCCCCUUCCUUGGAUCUAUGUAACCGGCCGACCACCACCACCAUCGUUUAGUGGUGGCGUAUGGCGGCUCUGCAACGAAAUCGAAGAACGAGAGGAAGAGAGAGGGAAAUCGGGGAAAGAGAGAGGAGCACGGCGUCGUCGGUGGGAUUCCGGCGACGGCCGGCGAGAAUUACGGCAGCCGCGGUGCGAGUUGUCUUCUCCGGCAAGGGUGUUAAUGAAGAUGACAGAUAAUGAUGUUGAUGAUGACAUUGCUGAAUGAUAACCAAUGAGAUGAUGAAGACAGUGAUGUGCGAUAGUGGUGGUGUCGUUAAGAUUCAGGUUCAGUCCGCAAAAGUCAGAUUUGGUUUGGUUCAACUUGGUUUGACUCGGUCAAACCGAGUCAACUCAGUCAAAGGCGGUCAACGGAAGUCAACCCGGGUCAGGCGUGGUUCGGGUUCGCAGCGGGUCAACAAUUCAAAAGUUGUGGUCAAAAUCAGAUUUUGGUUCGGUCAACGAGUCCACUGGUUACUCUUUUCAACUUCGGUUCGGGUCAACACCAGGUCAAACCCGAGUCAACUCGGGUCAACAGCAGUCAACACGCGGUCAACUUAAGACCCGGUAAAGUUAGGCGUUACAAGUCGUUAUUACGUUAUUCUUAGAUUUAUUUAGUUUACGCGACCGAGCUCGACCCGUUUCGAUUUGGUAUUAGUUUACCUUUAUUAUACUCGACGAAAACUUAUUAUAUAGAUUGAUUAUAAUAUCGAA